CCUGACCUCAUGAUCCGCCCGCCUCAGCCUCCCAAAGUGCUGGGAUUACAGGCGUGAGCCACCUUGUCUUACUCAUAUUAUCUCCUUACUCUCCUUUCCUAUGAUUCUUUUUCCACGUUGCCCCCAACUCCCCCCAAUUUCUUUCAGUCAUUUGGCAUUUAUUGAGUGCCUAGUGCAUGCCAAGUAGGGUGCUGGGUACAUUACAGACAUUGUUUGGUUCAGUAUUCACAGUAACCCUGCAAGGACAGUGGUCUUUUCCUCAUUUUUGUGAAGAAGCCAACUCAGCAGUUAGGUAACAUGCUCACCAUUACACAGCCAGCAAUCUGUAUUCACACUUAGCCUUGCUAUUCCAAAACCCUUCUUAAUCUUCAUUAAAAACAAUUCACCCAGCUCUCUCUUAAAUGAAGAAAUGAUACUGACCAACGUGGCCAUCUCUUAGGACCUAGGUAAUCUCACUACUUGCAGAUUUGCUGGCACUCCCAGCUAAUGUGUGUUCAAUGCUCAUGGGAGGCAGCACAGGGCAGUGGUUAGAACACAGACUCUGGAGCCUGGCCGGUCCCUGCUCUGCCCCAAGCAUCUGUGAACUUUGGACAGGUUGGCCAUCCCCUCCCUCGAAAAACAAGCCAGGUUCGAUGUGGUCGAGUGAUGAAAAAGAGGUUUGCAUGUUUUUAAAUUCAUUCACUUGACAAAUAUUUGAUAUGCCUACCACAUGCCAGGUAUUAUUAUAGAAACUGGGGACAGAGAAGAGGACCAAAUACAAAAGCCGGUGUCCCCAGGAAGCUUACCUUCCAGUGUUAGCAGGGUUCAUGGUAAAGACAGAAAUGCCUCCAUCACCCCAGAGAGCAGGACACACAGGAAGGAGGGGCAGGUGUGCAGCUAACCUCUUACUCAUCCUUCAAGAUCAUCGUAGGCCAAUGAAUCCUUGAAUUUGUGGUCAACAAGAGGUCUUCUGUAGGCUGAAGUCAGGGCUGAGUGGUCUGCUUGUGAUCUCCUAGGAAUUCAAGUAAAUCCAUGUACUUCUUGAACAUAGCUCAUAGCAGAGGACUGAGCCGUGAAAAUGCUUACAUGCCUGCCUCCUCUGACACAUUAUAAGCUCCCUGAGGAUGGGGACCAAGGCUUAUUUCAUCGUUGUAUCCUCAGCAUCUGACCAAUAGCAGGCACUAAGUCAUUACUGAAAAGAACUGAGCAUGACACCCAAGGGAACAGAUGAGGUGGAGGUAGGACAAGGAAGACUGAGGAGUCUCCAUGGAACCUUCCAGGGAGAGACAGUCAAUAAACUCUCAUCAGUCGAAGUGAUUUCUAUUGUACAGUGCAAACCUAUGUGUGCCGUGAAAAACAGUAAGGGCAAUAGGGCUUAGGAGGAGGGGAAGGCUGUGGGUGCCUGGGGUGGCAAUGGGGAGCCUCACUAAGGAGGCAAAGAUGGAACGAUGAGGGUCAGCCAUCAGAUGGAAGGCUCUAGAGCAGAUGCUGCCAGCUAGGCGAGGACCAGGUGGGCCGAGCAGACACUGGCUUCAGCGUGCCCUCUCCUGCCCACCGUUCCCAUCAAUUUCAGCACUACUGCAGAAAGAGACUUUUAAACAGCAAACGUCAAGCGUACACUUCACGAGGACAGGGACCUUCAUGUGUGGGAUGUAACUCAACACCCGAGGGCAUAGUGGACGCUCAAUGAAGAGCUGUUGAACAAAUGAAGGGAUACAGAAAGUCAAGAGGGGAAAGGUUUGGAAAGCGGCGGAUGUGUCGUGCGAAAUGCAGCACGUGGUGAAAGACAAUAAGCACCCGAAGAACCUUGGUCUUUGUUCUUAUUUAUUUAUCUGUUUUUAUCAUCUCCUAUUUAUUUAUGGUCAAAGGCUGACCUAUAGAGUGUUCAGUUGUUCUCCACAGUGGUUUUACUAGUGUGCUUGGAAAAUAGGAAUGAGCUAUUUAGAGGAUUCUCUUACGGUCCUAUUCCGGAGUUUAACUGCAGCCAGUGAAAACAUCCUCGCUCGGUGGUGUAGCGUCACAUCCACAAUCAAAUCAGUAUUUCACUCUUAGAAUAUGGACUGCUUCUGUCUAUAUCUUCACAGGUGUAAGAUUUAUGUUUAACAUUGGCAUGAGAAUAAGUGAAAGUCAGGUAGUCAAAUAUCCUUUUGUAAAUAGGAAUAGGGUAAAAACCCUUUAAUAUAGGAUUGUAAUACUUGGCAUUCAAUUUAUAAUUUUUGUAGCAUUCA
rnacentral:lncRNA from 1 species